rnacentral:rRNA from 1 species
AUUGAACGCUGGCGGCGGGCCUAACACAUGCAAGUCGAGCGGUAGAGAGAAGCUUGCUUCUCUUGAGAGCGGCGGACGGGUGAGUAAUGCCUAGGAAUCUGCCUGAUAGUGGGGGAUAACGUCCGGAAACGGACGCUAAUACCGCAUACGUCCUACGGGAGAAAGUGGGGGCUCUUCGGACCUCACGCUAUCAGAUGAGCCUAGGUCGGAUUAGCUAGUUGGUGGGGUAAAGGCUCACCAAGGCGACGAUCCGUAACUGGUCUGAGAGGAUGAUCAGUCACACUGGAACUGAGACACGGUCCAGACUCCUACGGGAGGCAGCAGUGGGGAAUAUUGGACAAUGGGCGAAAGCCUGAUCCAGCCAUGCCGCGUGUGUGAAGAAGGUCUUCGGAUUGUAAAGCACUUUAAGUUGGGAGGAAGGGUCGUUACCUAAUACGUGACGAUUUUGACGUUACCGACAGAAUAAGCACCGGCUAACUCUGUGCCAGCCGCCGCCGUAAAAC